GCUGCUGAAGUUGUAGAUUGAGCUCUACCAUUAUUUCCUCCUUGACCUUGUCUAGAAGGACAAUCCUUCAAUCUAUGACCAGACUGACCACACCCAAAGCAUCCUUCCUUACCUGCAAGGCACUCGCCCGGAUGGUUCUUACUACAUUUCGGGCAAGUUGAGUAGGUUUUGUUGCCUGAAACACUACCUUGAGACUUAGAGCCU
rnacentral:lncRNA from 1 species